CACGCCCUAAACGAUGGACACUGGUUGCUUGAAGUGUCGACCCUUCAAGUGGCGAAGCUAACGCGUUAAGUGUCCCGCCUGGGAAGUACGGCCGCAAGGCUAAAACUCAAAGGAAUAGACGGGGGCUCACACAAGCGGUGGAUCAUGUGGCUUAAUUCGAUAACAAACGAGUAACCUUACCUGGCUAAGACGCCCGACGACGUCUCCGUGAAAGCGGAGUUUCCCACAAGGACGGCGGGACAGGUGC
rnacentral:rRNA from 1 species